UCGAGCGAGAAAGCGUGGUCCCCGCGCAAGCGGGAUCUGCGUGAGUAAAGCGGCGCACGGGUGAGUAACACGUAGCUAACCUGCCCUCAAGUGGGGGAUAACCUGGGGAAACCCGGGCUAAUACCGCAUGACAUCCCGGUUGCACAAGCAGUCGGGAGCAAAGGCCCGCAAGGGUCGCUGGAGGAGGGGGCUGCGGCCGAUUAGCUAGUUGGUAGGGUAACGGCCUACCAAGGCAGUGAUCGGUAGCCGGCCUGAGAGGGCGCACGGCCACACUGGCACUGAAACACGGGCCAGACUCCUACGGGAGGCAGCAGUGGGGAAUUUUGCACAAUGCCCGAAAGGGUGAUGCAGCAACGCCGCGUGAGGGAUGAAGGCCUUCGGGUCGUAAACCUCUUUCGACCGGGAAAAACGCCCCGAUGAAGAAUCGGGGCUGAUGGUACCGGUGGAAGAAGCCCCGGCCAACUACGUGCCAGCAACCUCGGUGAUA
rnacentral:rRNA from 1 species